AUAUAACGACUGGAUUAUUCGGGUUACGUUUUGGUUUGUUUUUUGUUUUGACAACGUGUUCUACAAACUUUUUAACCAAGAAAUCAUCAAUCAUAAUCAUUUCAAUGACUUUAAAGGAUUCUGAUUGACUGGUGGCAGAAAGGGUAUGAAUAUAAAGUGGCAUUAAGGCCUUGCAGAAAGGCUUAACAGUAACAUGCUGAAGUUGCAAUAACAGUUUGACGAAGACCCACAUGUAAUCCCAUAUUGACGGUUGUAGAACUCGUACCAACAGAUUUCACUUUGGGAUAUAAUGGCAAGUUGGGAUGAGAAACUUCGUACAGCUGCAACUGAGGGGAAUAUAAAAGAGGUAGAAAUAUGUAUAAAGAACACAGCUAACUUGGAAUGUAGAGAUGGGUUUG